GGCAAACGGGUGAGUAACGCGUGGGCGACCUACCUUCGAGUGGGGGAUAACCUUCCGAAAGGAGGGCUAAUACCGCAUGACAUCCCGUGUUUGGAUACACGGACAUCAAAGCCGGGGAUCGCAAGACCUGGCGCUUGGAGAGGGGCCCGCGUCCGAUUAGCUAGUUGGUGAGGUAAUGGCUCACCAAGGCUCCGAUCGGUAUCCGGCCUGAGAGGGCGGACGGACACACUGGAACUGAGACACGGUCCAGACUCCUACGGGAGGCAGCAGUGGGGAAUUGUUCGCAAUGGGCGCAAGCCUGACGACGCAACGCCGCGUGGAGGAUGAAGACUUUCGGGUCGUAAACUCCUUUCGACCGAGAUGAAUGUCCCUCGACCCAACACGUCGAGGGAGUGACAGUAUCGAGGGAAGAAGCCCCGGCUAACUCUGUGCCAGCAGCCGCGGUAAUACAGGGGGGGCAAGCGUUGUUCGGAAUUACUGGGCGUAAAGGGUUUGUAGGUGGCCAACUAAGUCAUACGUGAAAUCCCUCAGCUUAACUGGGGAACUGCGUCUGAUACUGGUUGGCUUGAGUGC
rnacentral:rRNA from 1 species